AUUGAACGCUGGCGGCAUGCUUUACACAUGCAAGUCGAACGGUAACAGGCCGCAAGGUGCUGACGAGUGGCGAACGGAUGAGUAAUGCAUCGGAACGUGCCCAGUCGUGGGGAUAACGCAGCGAAAGCUGCGCUAAUACCGCAUACGAUCUAUGGAUGAAAGCGGGGGACCGUAAGGCCUCGCGCGAUUGGAACGGCCGAUGUCAGAUUAGGUAGUUGGUGGGGUAAAGGCUCACCAAGCCAACGAUCUGUAGCUGGUCUGAGAGGACGACCAGCCAAACUGGGACUGAGACACGGCCCAGACUCCUACGGGAGGCAGCAGUGGGGAAUUUUGGACAAUGGGCGCAAGCCUGAUCCAGCAAUGCCGCGUGCAGGAAGAAGGCCUUCGGGUUGUAAACUGCUUUUGUACGGAACGAAACGGUCCUGGUUAAUACCCGGGGCUAAUGACGGUACCGUAAGAAUAAGCACCGGCUAACUACGUGCCAGCAGCCGCCGUAAAAC
rnacentral:rRNA from 1 species